rnacentral:rRNA from 1 species
AGUGAACGCUGGCGGUAGGCCUAACACAUGCAAGUCGAACGGCAGCACAGUAAGAGCUUGCUCUUACGGGUGGCGAGUGGCGGACGGGUGAGGAAUACAUCGGAAUCUACUUUUUCGUGGGGGAUAACGUAGGGAAACUUACGCUAAUACCGCAUACGACCUACGGGUGAAAGCAGGGGAUCUUCGGACCUUGCGCGAUUGAAUGAGCCGAUGUCGGAUUAGCUAGUUGGCGGGGUAAAGGCCCACCAAGGCGACGAUCCGUAGCUGGUCUGAGAGGAUGAUCAGCCACACUGGAACUGAGCCACGGUCCAGACUCCUACGGAAGGCAGCAGUGGGGAAUAUUGGACAAUGGGCGCAAGCCUGAUCCAGCCAUACCGCGUGGGUGAAGAAGGCUUUCGGGUUGUAAAGCCCUUUUGUUGGGAAAGAAAAGCAGCAGGUUAAUACCCCGCUGUUCUGACGGUACCCAAAGAAUAAGCACCGGCUAACUUCGUG